GGGGCCCUCUAGGGCAUGCUGGGAUAGCGAGGCCGUGCAAGGCAUGCUGGGAAGGAUUCCGGGGCUGUUACCCGUACUACCCGUGAGCAGUCUCCUCAGACGCGGGCUCAACAGUUCUGUGUGGUCAAGCAUCGAGCUGACCUAAUUGAAAGCUCAUUACACCAGCACAUCCCCAUUAACAGGCAGACUCACGCGCAAAUCCUUCAGAGCAGGAGCUCUUUCUGUUUCCCAGACACGCACGGGGCCUGGAAACUCUGGCCAGUUAAGGGAUCUCCACGUCUGUGACCAUCAGAUUCACAUUAUAGGGGACUGGAAUGCAAAAGUAGAAAGUCAAGAAACACCUGGGAUAACAGGCAAAUUUGGCCUUGGAGUACAGAAUGAAGCAGGGCAAAGGCUAAUAGAUUCUGCCAAGAGAAUGCACUGGUCAUAGCAAACACCCUCUUCCAACAACACAAGAGAAGACUCUACACAUGGACAUCACCAGAUGGUCAACACUGAAAUCAGAUUGAUUAUAUUCUUUGCAACCAAAGAUGGAGAAGCUCUAUACAGUCAGCAAUAACAAAACUGGGAGCUGACUGUGGCUUAGAUCAUGAACUCCUUAUUGCCAAAUUCAGACUGAAAUUUAAGAAAGUGAAGAAAACCACUAGACCAUUCAUGUAUGACCUAAAUAAAAUACCUUAUGACUAUACAGUGGAAGUGAGAAACAGAUUUAAGGGACUAGAUCUGAUAGAUAGAGUGCCUGAUGAACUAUGGACAGAGGUUCGUGACAUUGUACAGGAGACAGGAAUCAAGACCAUCCCCAAGGAAAAGAAAUGCAAAAAAGUAAAAUGGCUGUCUGAGGAGGCCUUACAAAUAGCUGUGAAAACAAGGGAAGCUAAAAGCAAAGGAGAAAAGGAAAGAUAUACCCAUUUGAAUGUAGAGUUCCAAAGAAUAGCAAGAAGAGAUAAGAAAGCCUUCAGCGAUCAAUGCAAAGAAAUAGAGGAAGACAAUAGAAUGGCAACGACUAGAAAUCUCUUCAAGAAAAUUAGAGAUACCAAGGGAACAUUUCAUGCAAAGAUGGGCUCAAUAAAGGACAGAAAUCAUAGGGACCUAACAGAAACAGAAGAUAUUAAGAAGAGGUGGCAAGAAUACACAGAAGAACUGUACAAAAAAUAUCUUCAUGACCCAGAUAACCAUGAUGUUGUGAUCACUCACUUAGAGCCAUAUAUCCUGGAAUGUGAAGUCAAGCAGGCCUUAGGAGGCAUUACCACGAACAAAGCUAGUGGAGGUGAUGGAAUUCCAGUUGAGUUAUUUCAAAUUCUGAAAGAUGAUGCUGUGAAACUGCUGCACUCAAUAUCCCAGCAAAUUUGGAAAGCUCAGUAGUGGCCACAGGACUGGAAAAGGUCAGUUUUCAUUCCAAUCCCAAAGAAAGGCAAUGCCACAGAAUGCUCAAACUACCGCACAAUUGCAAUCAUCUCACACACUAGUAAAGUGUGCAAAAUUCUCCAAGCCAGGCUUCAGCAAUACGUGAACUGUGAACUUCCUGAUGUUCAAGCUGGUUUUAGAAAAGGCAGAGGAACCAGAGAUCAAAUUGCCAACAUCCGCUGGAUCAUGGAAAAAGCAAGAGAGUUCCAGAAAAACAUCUAUUUCUGCUUUAUUGACUAUGCCAAAGCCUUUGACUGUGUAGAUCACAAUAAACUGUGGAAAAUUCUAAAAGAGAUGGGAAUACCAGACCUUCUGACCUGCCUCUUGAGAAAUCUGUAUGGAGGUCAGGAAGCAACAGUUAGAACUGGACAUGGAACAACAGACUGGUUCCAAAUAGGAAAAGGAGUACAUCAAGGCUGUAUAUUGUCACCCUGCUUAUUUAACUUAUAUGCAGAGUACAUCAUGAGAAAUUCUGGACUGGAAGAAACACAAGCUAGAAUCAAGAUUGCUGGGAGAAAUAUCAAUCACCUCAGAUAUGCAGAUGACACCACCCUUAUGGCAGAAAGUGAAGAGGAACUAAAAGCCUCCUGAUGAAAGUGAAAGAGGAGAGUGAAAAAGUUGGCUUAAAGCUCAACAUUCAGAAAACGAAGAUCAUGGCAUCUGGUCCCAUCACUUCAUAGGAAAUAGAUGGGGAAGCAAUGGAAACAGUGUCAGAAUUUAUUUAUUUGGGCUCCAAACUCACUGCAGAUGGUGAUUGCAGCCAUGAAAUUAAAAGACGCUUACUCCUUGGAAGGGAAGUUAUGACCAACCUAGACAGCAUAUUGAAAAGCAGAGACAUUACUUUGCCAACAAAGGUCCGUCUAGUCAAGGCUAUGGUUUUUCCUGUGGUCAUGUAUGAAUGUGAGAGUUGGACUGUGAAGAAGGCUGAGUGCCGAAGAAUUGAUGCUUUUGAACUGUGAUGUUGGAGAAGACUCUUGCGAGUCCCUUGGACUGCAAGGAGAUCCAACAAGUCCAUUCUAAAGGAAAUCAGUCCUGGGUGUUCUUUGGAGGGACUGAUGCUGAAGCUGAAACUCCAAUCCUUUGGCCACCUCAUAUGAAGAGUUGAGUCAUUGGAAAAGACUCUGAUGCUGGGAGGGAUUGGGGGCAGGAGGAGAAGUAGACGACAGAAGAUGAGAUGGCUGGAUGGCAUCGCCGACUUGAUGGACAUGUGUUUGGGUGAACUCUGGGAGUUGGUAAUGGACAGGGAAGCCUGGCAUGCUGCAGUUCAUGGGGUCGCAAAGAGUCGGACAUGAUGAGCGACUGAACCGAACUCAGCUGAUAAGUGAUAUGAUACAGUAUUUGUCUGACAUUUUUCACUAAGCAUAAUACCCUCUAGGUCCAUUCAUGUUAUUGCAAAUGGCAAAAUUUCAUUCUUUUUGAAGGCUAAUGAGUAUAUCAUUUGUGCGUGUUUAUAUAUAUAUAUAUAUGUAUAUGUAUGUAUGUAUUAUGUGUGUGUGUGUAUGUGUGUAUACAUAUAUAUAUACUUUUCAUGCAACCAUUUGUGCUCCUGCUUGGUCAUGUCUGACCCCAUGGACUAUAGCCCACCAGGCUCCUCUGUCCAUAGGGUUUUCCAGGCAAGAAUACUGGAGUGGUUUUCCAUUUCCUUGUCCAGAGGAUCUUCCUGACCCAGGGAUUGAACCCACGUCUACUGCAUUAGCAGGUGAAUUUUUUACCCACUGAGCCACCUGGGAAGCCUAUAUGUGUG
ensembl:lncRNA